AGAAUUUAAAUAAAGGCCCAAUUACAAUAAAGAAAGCCCAAUUAAAAUAAAAGAGCCCAACUUUAAUUAAAAUAGGAAAAAGCCCAAAUCUUCCCCCCCAACAUCUCGGUUCUCUCUCUCUCUCUCAAUACACACUCACACGCACCCACACAAAUAGAUCUCUCUCUCUUCCUCUCAAUUCUCAUCUCUCUCUUCUCCAAUGAGGGCUCGCCGCCGCUGCUCCGGAAUCCGGCGAGGUCGACAGCCGCGCCAAGGUCCGACGCCUCCUCGCCUCUCUUCUUUCUCUCGUUCACAGCCCACCAAAUCCGGCUUCGUCGAUUCAGCGCCGCUGUCUUCCGAUUCAGAGCAAUCGACGAGUCCUCUCUAGUUUCCGUCGAAUUUCGUCAAGUAGCAAGGCUCUGCCUCUGUCGUUCACCAUGAGUCGCCGUCACUGAGCAACCGACGAGCACCGCCGCCGCGACUCUCUCUCCGACCAGAUUCGCCUCUCUUUCUGCUCCCUCGAAUCUCCUCCGGAUGUGGCCGAGCAGCAGCUGAUCGGCCCGUCAUCUCUCCCUUCGUCGACCAGCUUCGCAUCCAGCCGCCGUCCAGCCCCCUGUCCAGCCGCCGUCCAGCCCCCUUUUCUCUCUCUGGAUCGACGGGCAGCAGCUAAGCCGCCUGCUGCUGUUGCCGUUCUCGGACUUCACCGUCGAAAGUCUGUUGUCUCCAUCGAUUCUCCGAGCCCCGACGCCGCUGCUGCUACUGGAAUCCGGCGAGGACCAUCGCUGAGGUCGGGAGUCUUCUACCUUUCACCGCUCGACGCCGUCAACGCUGCUGUCCUUGGAACCGCCGCUGCUGCGUACGAGUCCGGCGUGCCUCUGCACGUCGCCGUGAUUCACGGUUGGCGCUUGGAUCCCCUUGAGCCGUCGCCCAAUCAUCGCUUCAUGGCUCGACCGAACAGGCUGCGCCCUUUUCCAUUCGAAGCUAAGUUCAUUCUUAAUACUCUAUUGUGAACGAAACUCAAAGCUUGUUGUAAACUCAGUUCAUGAUUCUAUUGAGCUCUAGUAUUUCUAUAAUUCGAUUAUGCAGUGGGUAAAACUAGCCAUAGUGGUUUGUUUCUAUUUCGAAAGUCCUCAUUGUCUAACUCAUGAAUAACACAUAAAAACUGACUUUAGUUGAUUGCUAUGUCCAUUAUGCAACAAUGUUUUCUAUCAUUAUAUACUGAUCAUGCUUUGAUAUGCAUACAACUGGAUUGAAUAUUUGGUAUUGAAUUAAUACCUUGAAAAUGACUGUUGGUUGGCUGAUUGUCGUUGGUUUAAAUGAAGCUGAUAGAAUCUGAAAUAGAAUCAUAUGAUGUUCCCCUUAAUAAUGCAGGAGGAAUACAUGGCAGAGCUAGAGAGAGUUGAAGUAUGGCUUACCCCUUUGAACUUGGCAGAGUAAUGAAUGAAGGUUAUCUCUCUACUCCUUCAAUUGUUGAGGUGGAAGAAUGUGGUGUUGUUUGGCUGGAGUUAACUAAGUGAGGAGGAGUUGUUGCUCUUCAAUUGGCUUGACAAAGUGUAGUGGUGGUGUUGUAUGAAUGGGGAGAAAAGCAUGGUGGAGCGAAAAAGAAAGUUUGUGUAAUGAUACUGAUGACUUUGUAUGUUAUUAUGAGUUGUGGACAUCAAUGUAUCAAUGUGAUUGGAAUAUUGUAUAUUGUUACUGGUAGUUGUAAAAA